AAAAAGAUAAUUUUGUUUAAAUUGUCAAUUUAUAUUUUCUUUAAAAGUUUAUCUUAA
rnacentral:tRNA from 1 species